GUUAAUCCAGCCUAGAAUUCACUUAACAUGAUUGUGGAUAACAACCUUCACUACUUGUGAAUAUAAGUUCAUAACGAUUAGGUGAAAUUCACUUAUAUUCUAGCAUCAAAUUCAUGCAUGUAAAUUAAGUAUGCAUUCUUAAUCGACAUACAAAAAUAAGUUAUCAAUCAAGCAGUUAAGCAAAUUAAAUCACAACUGAAGGUAAUCAAUUCAUAUUACAAAUAUAUUCUUGGCUUUGAAUUAACCUCUAGUCAAAAUAAAUUUAGUUACACAUUAUUUUCAAAUUAAACCAAAAAUUAAACAUGAGUUUGAGAAGAUAACACCAAUAAGAAUGGAGUGAAGCCUCUGCCUCUGUGCUCCUCUUCUUCCCGUGCUUCUCCUGCUAUCUCUCACGCUGCCAAAGGCAGCCUUUAUUCUUUCCGCGCCCAACAGUCUCUGCGCCUCACUUCCCUUCUCUGUUCCGUGUGUUUUCUCCUCCCGUCAGUCAGUCCAUGCUGCUCCUUUAUAUCGUGUCCAUGCACUGCCCUCUCUUCUUCUUUUCUUUCUGUCCGCCCUCAGUCCCGCACUACCUCUUUCAUUUUAUAUUUUUCUUUCUUUCCCAGCUGCUGUCCACUUCCUCUAACAGAUCCCCUUUUUUAUUUCUUUAUUUUACUUUUCUUCUAUUGCCAAUGCUUUGCUGUAUUUGUUGCCUUUCAGACAAAACCAAAGGGCAGCCUUAAUCAUUCAUCAUGAUUAUUCAUCAUGAUUUUAUGCUUUAUGCUCUUCUUUGUCAUCUUUGUCUGCUUUCAAUUCCAAUCUGCAAUUUGUCGUCAGCUAGACCUUCCCUUACUUAAAUGCCCAUAACUUCUUCUAGAAAAAUGAUAUUAACAAUCCGCGAAAUGUUCUAGAAAAUAGACAUCUGUAGCUUUCCAAGCAUAUAAGGCUCAUUCUCUAAUUCAUUCUGAGCUGUUCGCAAUUUGCUCCCAAAGUCAGCUGAUCUACACAGGCAGUUUUGACGAAUUUAUUACUUAAAAUUUCACUUGUUCUAUUUUUAUUUUCUUUGCUAGACAAAUCCUAUAAUACGCAAAAACAAAGUAAAUAGCUCAAUAAUAUAAGGAACUAACUAAGAAAAGACGAGUGAAUUCGAAGUAAAAAUAUAUAUAAAUAUGAUCCGAUCAAAUACCCCCACACUUAACUUUUGCUAGUCCUCGAGCAAAACAAAGAAAACAAGAACAAGAAGUAACAAGAAAAACAUUAUCUUCCCCCUAUGUGACCCUCAUAGAAUUUCAUUCAAGAAAACAAAUCAUCAAGAACCAUAGCUAGCAUCAAGGAACUAAUCCAAGUUCAUCUUCCUUAUUCAAAUAUUAGCAGUAAUCUUUGAAUCAUCCUUGAAGUGUAGUGUGUGAGAUAGUCAUGCUAAUGCAAUUUCAAAAUUUUUAUAUUUUAAAAUCAUCAUAUGCAAACUAGCAACCUUCUCACGGGAUAUACAUUCAAUCACACAUGUGUUUAGUUUAAAUGGGUUUCGCUCAAAGAAUCAAAUGUGAAAUUUCUACCAUAAGCUUGCAUAAAGAUCUCAUCUCCACAAUCAUAAUUGCAAAACUUAAAUCAAGAGGACUUUUAUUGGAUGUAAUGAGGUUUAGGGAGAGGGUUAUUGAAAUGAAAGAAUAGGUAAACACAAGUUCCAAACUACAUUGCAAGCAAUUCUUUUCUUUAGAUUUAUAAGAACUCAACCUUUCCAACGAUUCUUUUAGCACCUCUAACCACACCCUUAAACUGAAACUUGAACAACUUUUUAUUUUCUUUGUGUACAAUCUUUCUUUUUCUUUUUCUUUUCUUCUCUUUUCUCUUUUUUUUUUUUUUUUUUUUUUUUUUUUAAUUACAAACAUGAAAUACCCCCACACUUAUUCUUUUGCCAAACACCUUCAAAGUACUUCAUAAACGUUUCUCAUAAGACAAUCUCGCAUUGCUCGCUUGGAAAGGGUAAGGAAAAAUGUUUCAGGUAUAAGGGUAGACAUAUCUGGUGAUAAGAAAUAAAAAGGCUUAACAUACACGGCUCAAAUUGGCAAUCUAAUGAUAUCAUUUUUCUUUGGGAAACAUGGUUAUUUGGGCCAUAGUGGUAAACCUAAUGCCUCUAUCAUUUCCAAGUUCAUGCAGUCAAUGACAAACAUUUCGAAAGAUCGUUACGCAAGUUCUAGAGAUGUAUCUCACAUAAGUUCAUCACACAUAAAAAAAAUAGGAGUGUAUGAAAAAUGCACACA
rnacentral:lncRNA from 1 species